ACGCUCGACACCUACGGCAGCAGUGGGGAAUAUUGCACAAUGGGGGAAACCCUGAUGCAGCGACGCCGCGUGAGCGAAGAAGUAUUUCGGUAUGUAAAGCUCUAUCAGCAGGGAAGAAACUGACGGUACCUGACUAAGAAGCACCGGCUAAAUACGUGCCAGUAGCCGCGGUAAUCUGAGCGGGCUGGCAAGGC
rnacentral:rRNA from 1 species